UUUGCACUUUAGGUUGAAGUUGAUCCUCGAGGCAAUUUCUAACGAAGUUCGCCUAUACUUCAAUUUUUGCGUUUGGAAGUCUGCGUUCGCGCAACUUCCUA
rnacentral:snRNA from 19 species